rnacentral:tRNA from 1 species
UGGGGGAUCGUCCAACGGCAGGACUCCAGACUUUGGAUCUGGCUAUCUAGGUUCGAAUCCUAGUCCCCCAGCCA